GCACUUGCAGAAAUUCCAUGCACCGAAAAAGAGCUCCUAGCAGAAUUUUGGCAGAGCAUGCAGCCAGUAAUGAAGGGAUAGAUGCACCUGACAGAGGGCUUCUCUCUACAGGAUCCUGGGCCAUUAGUGCUUCGUCGUGGGUCACAGUGCAACAUCAGAUGUCUGCAAAGCUCAUCAGUUUUCCUUGGACUAGGGUGGCCCCUAAAUCAUGGCUGCAGCUG